rnacentral:misc_RNA from 1 species
CCACCUUUUUCUUGAAUCAUCAUCAUCACCCUCUUCAUCAUAAAGAAUCUCCUUCCUCCUUUUGCGUUCUCUUUCUUUCUCCUUCUCUUUCUCAUACUGCCGCUGUUUCUCUUUCUCUCUCUCCCUAUAUUCCCAAUCUUUCAGCCGCUCCUCAAACUCACGCUCUGCCUCCUCAAUCUUCCUUCUCUGCUCCCUCUCUUUCCUAAUUCUCUCUCGCUCAGCUUCCCUUUCAUAUCUUUCAAUUUCUCGUUCCUUUUCCCGUUUUAGAUCUCG